CCUCUUUCACCCGAGAAGCCUUGCGUGCACUGUUAGCAAACUCACACAAGUGAAGAGGGACCUUUCUUUGCUACACAGCGUCCUCCGUGGCGAGCUGGAGGGAAGCGCUCUCAGCAGAGAGGGUCGCCCUCACCAAGAAGCCAAAGGGAAGAGGACAGAAUCUAUCUUGUAGGGACGCCCUUGGUCUUCAGAAGGAACACUUUUUCUGUUUCACAGAGAUCUGUGGAAUGUGUGGGUUCCCUGAAGAGGUGGACGGACCCCCGGGGUCGCGCGUUUUCUCAGCCCUGGGCCCGUAGCGGAGCUCGAUCCUUCCAGAGCUCAGGGCCAGAAAUGUUGCGAUUCCGAACACUUUGCCUUUCUUCUGAGAGGAGCCGCCCGGCAGACGCUCAUCAUUAAGAAGCAACGUAAUUAACAACGAAUGUUUCCCCUUGGCGCUAAUGCGAACACCCUGGGGAACUGCCAAGUCUGAUAUGUCCACCGCAUUACAAAUGGGAUUCUCUGGCAUCUGACCAACCCUCACAAUGGCUACUGGCCAUCUCAUGCCCAACAGGACAAUGCUUAUUUCCACCAGGAGAUGGCGCAUGCCUUUUUUUUUUUUUUUUUAAAUCCCCAGGAAGGUCUCAGUGCUGCAAAAGCUCCAUGACCAUUCUGCUUCUAAACUGACGGAGCAAACAUAUAUUUCCAGUGGUAAUGCUAGGAAAUACUUUGCUAAGGAUGUUACUUUGGUCCUUCAGCCAGUGGUCAGAGAACAGAAUGACCAUACUGCAACCACCCAUGGUGAACUGACUGGCACACCUACAAAAAUCUUAUCUUUGGGGUCCCCAUAGUACCCAGUGGAUUGCCUUGCACAUUGUAGGUGCUCAGUAUGUGUUUGCUAAAGACAUGACCCUGGAUAAAUCACUUCACCUCAAUUAGUCUGUUUCCCAAAUCUGAAAAUAAAAGCAGUGAAAUGGACAAGGUGACAGUUAAGGCCUUGAAUCAGAAGAGCCUCUGACAAUGUGACAAAUAGCUUAUGCUUGCUGAAUGGCUGACUUCUCUGAAAGGGAAAACAGCAGAAUCUGAGAGGGGAGAGUGGAGCGGAGUUCUUCCUCCCCUGUGCUAACAGGUAUGUGAUUCCUAUUAUUGUCUUUGGUGGGAAGGGAAGCAUGAGGCAGGCCCCUGGUCUACAGUGGAAGUGAAGCCUGAGGAUAGGCUAAGAAUUAGGGAAAUUAACAGGCUCCUAGGAGUCAGAAUGCUCAGCUUCUAUUCCCAGCACUGCUUAAAAUUUUCAGGGGAAAGUACUUUAUAAUCCUUGCAGCAUUUGGUGCCUUUAUUAGAAAAUCCUUUUAUGUGAGAUUUUGAGUUUCUUAUUUUCUCUCCUCACCAGGAUAAUGCACAGAAAGAGCUGAGGUGGGAGUCCGAGAGACAGGGGUCUGACAUGUAUAAUAUACUCUGCUGCACAGGAUUAUCAUGAGGGUUAAAUGAAAUAAUAAAUGUAGAUUACACUUAGCUCAGGACCUGCCACACACUUAGCUGAGGGCCAGGAAUUCAAUAACCAAUGACUAUCAAUGUCAAUCAUUCUAGCUAUUUUGUAGAUGCAAAGUCCAAUAGAAACAGAAAGGGUGCAAAGCUAAAACUUUUAAAAUACUCAGACCCAGACUCUAAUCCAUUAAAAAAAAAAAAGCAAAAAACAAAAAAGAUAAUCCCUAAUUUUUCUUAACCUUGCAUUUUUCCAUUGAGAGGUGGUGACUUCCUAAAAUGGAGGUAGACAGAUAGAUAGAGAAUCUGUAUAACAACAUACGUAAUCUAGAUACCUAUAUCUUUAUAAGGAAACCAGGUAAGGGACACUUGAGAAA
rnacentral:lncRNA from 1 species